AUUGAACGCUGGCGGUAUGCUUAAGACAUGCAAGUCGUGCGGUAGAAGGCUUCGGCCUUUGAGAGCGGCGGACGGGUGAGUAACACGUGGGAAUCUGCCUAUUAGUGGGGGACAGCCCAGCGAAAGCUGGAUUAAUACCGCAUACGCCCUACGGGGGAAAGCAGCAAUGCGCUAAUAGAUGAGCCCACGUAAGAUUAGCUAGUUGGUAAGGUAAAGGCUUACCAAGGCGACGAUCUUUAGCUGGUCUGAGAGGAUGGCCAGCCACAUCGGGACUGAGACACGGCCCGGACUCCUACGGGAGGCAGCAGUCGGGAAUAUUGGACAAUGGGCGCAAGCCUGAUCCAGCAAUACCGCGUGUGUGAAGAAGGCCUGCGGGUUGUAAAGCACUUUCAGUUGGGAAGAUAAUGACGUUACCAACAGAAGAAGCACCGGCUAACUCCGUG
rnacentral:rRNA from 1 species